AUUGAACGCUGGCGGCAGGCCUAACACAUGCAAGUCGAGCGGAUGAAGGGAGCUUGCUCCUGGAUUCAGCGGCGGACGGGUGAGUAAUGCCUACGUAUCUGCCUUGUAUUGGGGGAUAACGUCCGGACACGGGCGCUAAUACCGCAUCCGUCCUUAGGGUGAAAGGGGGGGAUCUUCGGACCUCACGCUAUCAGCUGAGCCUAGGCCGUAUUAGCUAGUUGGUGUGGUAACGGCCUACCAAGGCGACGAUCCGUAACUGGUCUGAGAGGAUGAUCAGUCACACUGGAACUGAGACACGGUCCAGACUCCUACGGGAGGCAGCAGUAGGGAAUCUUGGACAAUGGGCGAAAGCCUGACGCAGCCACGCCGCGUGUGUGAAGAAGGUCUUCGGAUCGUAAAGCUCUGUUAGUAGGGAGGAACAAAUGUGAGUUAAAACCUUGCUGUUUUGACGGUACCUACUCAAAAAGCAACGGCUAACUACGUG
rnacentral:rRNA from 1 species